GACGAACGCUGGCGGCAUGCUUUACACAUGCAAGUCGAACGAGUGGCGAACGGGUGAGUAAUAUAUCGGAACGUACCGAGUAAUGGGGGAUAACCAAUCGAAAGAUUGGCUAAUACCGCAUAUUAUUCGAGCGGCCGAUAACUGAUUAGCUAGUUGGUGGGGUAAAGGCCUACCAAGGCGACGAUCAGUAGCGGGUCUGAGAGGACGAACCGCAACACUGGGACUGAGACACGGCCCAUAAUCAUACGGGAGGCAGCAUGGGGGAAUUUUGGACAAUGGGUGCAACCCUGAUCCAGCCAUGCCGCGUGUAUGAAGAAGGCCUUCGGGUUGUAAAGUACGGUUGUUAGGGAAGCGGUACCUAAAGAAUAAGCACCGGCUAACUACGUGCCAGCAGCGGCGGUAAUUC
rnacentral:rRNA from 1 species